GAUGAACGCUAGCGGCAGGCCUAACACAUGCAAGUCGAGGGGCAGCACAGGUAGCAAUACUGGGUGGCGACCGGCGGAUGGGUGCGUAACGCGUAUGCAACCUACCAUUGAUUGGGGCAUAGCCCGAAGAAAUUCGGAUUAAUACUCCAUAAUAUUCAUCAAAGGCAUCUUUUAUGAAUUAAAGCUUUUGCGAUCAAUGAUGGGCAUGCGUGACAUUAGUUAGUUGGUGAGGUAACGGCUCACCAAAACGAUGAUGUCUAGGGGUUCUGAGAGGAUUAUCCCCCACACUGGUACUGAGACACGGACCAGACUCCUACGGGAGGCAGCAGUGAGGAAUAUUGGUCAAUGGACGCAAGCCUGAACCAGCCAUCCCGCGUGCAGGAAGACGGCCCUAUGGGUUGUAAACUGCUUUUCCAGGGAGAGAAACUUACGCACGUGUUGCGUGACUGACGGUACCCUGGGAAUAAGCAUCGGCUAACUCCGU
rnacentral:rRNA from 1 species